CCUACGGGAGGCAGCAGUGGGGAAUAUUGGACAAUGGGUGCAACCCUGAUCCAGCCAUGCCGCGUGUGUGAAGAAGGCCCUCGGGUUGUAAAGCACUUUCAGUGAGGAAGAACGCCUGGUGGUUAAUACCCAUCAGGAAAGACAUCACUCACAGAAGAAGCACCGGCUAACUCCGUGCCAGCAGCCGCGGUAAUACGGAGGGUGCGAGCGUUAAUCGGAAUUACUGGGCGUAAAGCGCGCGUAGGUGGCUUGAUAAGCCGGUUGUGAAAGCCCCGGGCUCAACCUGGGAACGGCAUCCGGAACUGUCAAGCUAGAGUGCAGGAGAGGAAGGUAGAAUUCCCGGUGUAGCGGUGAAAUGCGUAGAGAUCGGGAGGAAUACCAGUGGCGAAGGCGGCCUUCUGGACUGACACUGACACUGAGGUGCGAAAGCGUGGGUAGCAAACAGGAUUAGAUACCCCAGUAGUC
rnacentral:rRNA from 1 species